GUGGCUCUCUAGUCAUGGAGGGUGACGUGCUUGACCCUUCCAUGGCCUAGUUUCUGUUAGAAGACCUCAGUGAGACCCCAAGAGAAUGAAUGGGGGUAAGAAGGACAACAGUGAAGGGUCUUUUGGAGAACUGGAAUGCCAGGCUUGCGGGCUGCCUCCUGCGAUGGAAUACCCACCGUCAGGCUUUUUCCUGGAAACGUGUAGACACAGAUAAACUUUGCUUAUUAAUUUCAGACCAGACACCAAGAAUAGACAGAGGGCCCCUUUGCAGUGCUAACCUUGCUGCCUUCUCAGAUAUCCAGGUUUCCUUCCAGGAAGCCAUCCUCCUCCAGAAGGGAUCAUUUGGAUGUGGCCCCUUCCCACUGAACUGAGCUAUAGCCGAGUGACUCCCUUGGGCAGUGGAACACAGCUACCCGAAGAGUGGGCUUACCCCUGCUAAACGUGGCUCUGAGAAAGCUGCAUCUGAUUUAGCAGUUCGCUAACAACUCAGCACUCCCAACAGUUCGUGAUCAUGUGAAGUAGAGGCACGAGUGCGGCUUUCACACACACACAUGGCUGCGCAUGUCAUGCGUAGAAUGGCAAACGCUCCUUCUGCCACGAGGAGGGGCUGCUGCAGCCGGUUUCAGUGCCAGCAGCAGAGGCCUGGGCUGCCUCACCGCCUCCCGAGGGCACUCAGUGGCCAGAGCGAGGAGGGGCUCUGUGGACGCCAAGCACCUCUUGAUUAAGGACAUGUUUGCCUUGCCAUAAAAUGA